UUCCUUUCCACGGUAAGAAAAUAAGGCACAAUGGGGGGUACUCAGCCUUGCUGAAGGUAACGGAGGCGGCUCCCACUAGGCACUUGGACUCUAGAGUCCAAACGCUUGAACCACUGGGCUCACAGGAACAGGAGGUGAGGAAGUGGAGGUAGUCAUCUCCGAGGAAGUUUUGCUGGGAAGAAGAGAUGAGAAGUGGGAAUACUGUUUCUUAGCUCCUUCUCCCAGCAAAGAGGGUCGAGAAAUUUUGUUUAAGGUGAGGAAGAGAUGGUCAAGGUGUGGGGGACAUAGGGCCCCAUCCCCCAUUCCUGUACUGUGUCAUGUUACAUGUUACAUUGGCCUGUUGGUAAUGAAUUGUUCUGAUCUUCAUCUUCCUCAAGUGUGGGGCUGGGGCCUCAGUCUACCCAACACCUGACACAGGCUCUCACCAACAGAUGCUCAGGAAAUGUGCUUUUGCUUCUUGCCCCUUCUCUUAGCCCACAGCUGUAUCAGGUGGGUUUAUCAGUACAGCAGUUUGGAGGUCAGGACCUGGUGAUGCACAAUCCCAGGAUCACAUCUCUAUGGGAAUUCUCAAAUUUCAUGACGCUUCAAUUUUAUCGCCUAUAAAAUGGGAGCAUAGAGGCAUGUGUGGCAUGCUGCUACAUCAGUGGAUCUGAGGUGCAGCGAUUCCUGUUAGCACCUCUUCACAGCCUCGGAGUGCUUAACUCACGGAGGCUUCAUCCCAUCUUGCGCUAGGCAAGUGGACUCUAUGAAAGGGUUGUGUUUCCCUCCUCAUCUGGAUAUGAUUUUUGACAAGCAUGACAACCCCACUGCCUUUUUAAAAAUUUAAUUUUUAAUAUUUAUUUUAUUAUGAGACAGGGUUUUGCGCUGUUGCUCAGACUGGAGUGCAGUGGUGCAAUCAUAACUCACUGCGGCGUGGGACUCCUGGGCUCGAGCAAUCUUUCUGUCUCAGCUUCCCUAGUAGCUACGACCACAGAUGCACACCACCAUACCCCGCUAAUUUUUAACUUAAUUUUUUUUUUCUCUGUAGAGAUGUAUUGCAGUGUUGCCCAAAAUGGUUUUGAACUCUUGGACUUAAGCAGUCCUCCCUCCUUGACCUAAAGUGCUGGGAUUACAGGCUUGAACCACUGCUCUUUGCCUUUUUUUUUGUUUGUUUUUGUGACACUCGUUCUAGCCCAGGCUGGAGUGCAGUGAUGUGAUCUUGGCUCACUGCAACCUCGACCUUCUCGGCUCAAGAGAUCCUCCCACCUCAGCCUACCAAGUAGCUGGGACUACAGGUGUGUCCCACCAUGCCCAGCUAAUUUUUGGAUUAUUUUGGAGGCGGGGUUUCCCUGUGUUGCCCAGGGUGGUCUUAAACUCCUGGGCUCAAACGAUCCCCCUACCUCGGCCUCCCAAAUUGCUGGGAUUACAGGCAUGAGCCACCAUGCCUGGUUAUGCUUCCAGCCUUUAGACAUCUUUUAAAAUUGACAUAUUGUAAUUGUACGUAUUUGUGGGGUGUGGAAUCAACCCAUCUGUAGAUGCUCCUACUCUGCCUGGCAGGAAGAGCGGAGAUGACCUUCUUGGGCUGUCAAGGUCUUGCUGUGUCAGCAGGGGGCAGCAGCUACCAGAAAGUGCGCAGAGCCUGGGCUCUGCAUUUCCCUGCGCGCACUGCGUGUUGACCCUCCAAGCCUGCGUGGUCAGCCUCAUGGGCACUUUGCAGAAGGGCCUGAAAAACUGCACAUAGAAGGGUGGGGGUGUGUAUACAUCAGAAUGGAACCCUAUUUGUACUUGUCAUGGGCCUCUUGCAUUCCCGUGUGUCCUCGGAAUCACCUAUUGCGUGUGAGAGCUGGCUCAAGUCUGCAGCGCAGCUGGUCUCAGGAGGUAAGAUGUUCGAUAUGUAGAUGUACCCUGUUCUCCUCAGAGCUCACCUCCUUCCUUGGCCUCCCUAGUGUCUUUUCCCUCUCCCUUUCCACAGCCUCUUUAUAAAUUUCUCCACCCACGCCUGCUCACCAUUCCUGAGCCCCAGGCUGCAACACAUUGCUCAUGCCCUGGGAUAAGGGAACCAGGAGACCAUACACUGGCUGGCAAAUGGAUAUGUGUAGUUUACUAAGAAAUGUUCACCAGGAUCUUUCAGUGUACAAACACUGUGGUAGGCCUUGUUAGGAACACUAUAAACUGUAAUGCCAUGGGUGGGUCUUCCAGGUAAGGAAUGCAGGUGUGCACAGGUGGUGCAGGGCAGUGAAAAAUACAUAACCAGGCCAGGAGCAAUGGCUCACAGCUGUAAUCCCAAUGCUUUGGAAGGCCAAGGUGGGAGGCUCACUUGAGGACCAAGUUUGAGGCCAGCCUCAGCAUCAUAGUGAGAACCCGACUCUACAAAAAGUAAAAAAAUUAGCAAUGCGUGAUGGCAUGCACCUGUAGUCCUAGCUACUCCUGAGGCUAGUGGGAGGAUCUCCUGAGCCCAGGAGUUUGAGGCUGCAGUGAGCUAUGAUCACACCACUAUUUCAGAAUGGGUGACAGAGGGACAACCUAUUUCUAAAAAUAAGUAAAUAAAUAACUAAUGAGGGCUGCAGUCAAGGAAAAAUCUGGGAGGUUACAGCUGGGCAUUGCUCUCCGAAGCUCUGAACCAGCCCCUUGGUCUCAGACUGGAGAAGUGGUGCCUGGCUCCCAAUCCUCACUCUUCCCAAAUCUGUCUUGAGCUCCCAGGGCCUGUGUCUCACCCAUCUUGGUGUUCUCAGGACCUGGAAUGUGGAAAUUUUCACCAAACAGCUGUCUACUGACUUACUUCUGCUUGUGCUACCCUUGGCACAAGUUUCCUCCCUUCUCAAACUGUCAAACUGCUGCCUGUGGUUUGAGGACCAGAUCAUGUGGUCAAAAGUCCACAUGAGCUGGGAUUCAACCACAGGCACCUCUCUAGCCCAGUCUGAAUUAAUCCUUAUCACUCUCAAGUUCCCCAUGGCUCUUUUGACUUACUGAAGAAUGGGCCGGUUGUUGUAGACAUGUCUCUUGUUGGUCCUAAGUCCUCAGAAGAAGGGGUCAGUAUCAUCCUUGACUCCAUCUCACUCAACACAUAACACAAUAGACAUAUGUACAGGGACCAUACGUGAUGCAUAGUCUAAAUUGGGACAGCUGAGUGUGAAAGGGGGCAGGUGUGGCCUGGGACUGACUUGGGUGAUCUAGGACAUAUGGUCACCCUCAUUCUAGGUGCUCAGUAAACAUUAGUUCUUUUGAGAGCUUCGGUGUUAAAAACACUGACCACACUAUUCAGAGAGGGUUGCCCUUGGCCUGCCCCUGCCACAAGGGGUUAUGUGCACAGGGACAAUUCACUCAGCUCCUCUGGGCCUCAGUGUUCCAAUCUGCCGGAAGUGUGGACAGACUCAGUAGAUAACCUCUAAGGUUAUCUAAAGCACUAAAAUUAUACAGCUGGCAGUGGAGGCUGGGCCAUGCGAAGAGUUCUGAUGGAUGAUGUGAAAUGGUGCAUGUGUUUGCAGACAGGGUUAGGGGUUGGAGCAUGAGAAACCUGAGCAAGUCCAGAGUUGGUUAGGACCCAGCCCGGAGGGAGCAGAGGGCUGCUGGAUAUUUCUGCUUGGGUGUGAGAUGAUCAUCGUCCAGAGGUCGAAGAGCUCAGAGUGCUGGGCAGUAGUUUCUCUUUCUCCAGGCAGGCAGGUGGCUUUCACUGCACAGUGCAGAUACGCUUCUUGAUUUAUUCAAACAUAGGAGGAAGGGAGUGUCAAAAUGAGUUUCUUCCCCAUUUAGAAAAGAGGAACCUUCUUGGUCUAGGGUAGAGUGGAGCAGCAGAGCUGCCUUCUUCCUCAGCUGCGGCUUCAUCUUCCAUGCUCCUUCCAGGCCACCCCAUCCUGUUUCGUCUCUAUGAUUUCUGCAAUAACAUGCAGAAGAGCUGGAUCAUCUUCACACUGACACAAGGAAAUCUCAGUUGUGCCACGGCCUGCUUUUUUCCAGCAGGAAUUCUUAAGGGCCUGGGGGCCUGGGGCAGCAGUGAAGGCUGGAGGAGGCUCAUGGAGCUGUACAGGUUCGCAGGGGCUGCUGUGGUUUAGGGAAGAAGGAGAGGAUGUUGCUUAAUGUCACCUGCCUUGUGUGCUAACCUCAGUGUUGCUAUGGUUUCAGCCUCCCACUCCACUUGGAGAGAGAGGCCAGGAGCCCACCUGCCUCUGCAGCCCACCUGCCUCUGCAGCCCAGGGUGGGAAUGUAACCGUUGCUGCUGUACUCACAUCUGACCUUCCUUCAGCUGAUCUUCGCCCCUUUUACCAGAUCUCCUCUUUCACUUUACAAUUUCAGAAGCCUCAGAUUACAAUCCUCUCCAUUCCCUCAAACAGUUGCAUCUGGCAAUAGUGACCAUGGCUGCCCCAUUGGAAGGGACUGUUAACAGAAAAGGGCAUGAGGCCUUAGGAGGAGGGGAGCUACGUCUUCAUAACACUAACAAAAACAAACCCGAGGUUAAAUAAAGUGAACCAGGUAUUUAGUUCACCUGCCACCUGGGAUAUACUUUUUAAUUUUUUCUGGGUUGGUUAAAAAUAUAUUUAGGGCCGGGCACGGUGGCUCACGCCUGUAAUCCCAGCACUUUGGGAGGCUGAGGCGGGCGGAUUACCUGAGCUCAGGAGUUGGCAACCAGCCUGGGCAACAUGGCGAAACCCCUUCUCCACUAAAAUACAAGAAAUUAGCCGGGCUUGGUGGCGUCCACCUGUAGCCCCAGCUACUCAGGAGGCUGAGGGAGGAGAAUGGCGUGAACCUGGGAGGCGGAGCUUGCAGUGAGCUGAGAUCGCGCCACUGCACUCCAGCCUGGGUGACAGAGUGAGACUCCGUCUCAAAAAAAAAAAUGUAUAUACAUACAUAUGUAUAUAUAUUUAACGACACUUUCAGAGAGAAUGUGACAGAGAUAAAAGCUGAAUAAGAAUGACAGGAAAACUGAUCUGGAAGCAUAAAUGAUGAGGAUGAGAGAAAACAUCUGCAGCUAGACAAACCCAAAAGACUUGGAGAAAGUGACAAAAGUGAAGCAGCAGAGACGAGGAGAGACGUGAAAAUACACGCUGGAGGGAGGGACAUCAGAGACGAGAAGAGGAAAGCCUCAUAGGUGACUGGGACAUCAGAGAUGAGAAGAGGAAAACCUCGUAGGUGACUGGGACAUCAGAGAUAAGAAGAGGAAGGCCUUGUAGGUGACCGGGACAUCAGAGACAAGAAGAGGAAGGCCUCGUAGGUGACCAGGACAUCAGAGACAAGAAGAGGAAAGCCUCGUAGGUGACCGGGACAUCAGAGACGAGAAGAGGAAGGCCUCGUAGGUGACCAGGACAUCAGAGACGAGAAGAGGAAAGCCUCGUAGGUGACUGGGACAUCAGAGAUGAGAAGAGGAAAGCCUCGUAGGUGACCGGGACAUCAGAGACAAGAAGAGGAAAGCCUCGUAGGUGACUGGGACAUCAGAGACAAGAAGAGGAAAGCAUCGUAGGUGACCGGGACAUCAGAGAUAAGAAGAGGAAAGCCUCGUAGGUGACCGGGACAUCAGAGAUGAGAAGAGGAAAGCCUCGUAGGUGACCGGGACAUCAGAGAUGAGAAGAGGAAAGCCUCGUAGGUGACCGGGACAUCAGAGAUGAGAAGAGGAGAGCCUCGUAGGUGACCGGGACAUCAGAGACAAGAAGAGGAAGGCCUCGUAGGUGACCGGGACAUCAGAGAUGAGAAGAGGAGAGCCUCGUAGGUGACCGGGACAUCAGAGACAAGAAGAGGAAGGCCUCGUAGGUGACCGGGACAUCAGAGAUGAGAAGAGGAGAGCCUCGUAGGUGACCGGGACAUCAGAGACAAGAAGAGGAAAGCAUCGUAGGUGACCGGGACAUCAGAGAUGAGAAGAGGAAAGCCUCGUAGGUGACCGGGACAUCAGAGAUGAGAAGAGGAAAGCCUCGUAGGUGACCGGGACAUCAGAGACAAGAAGAGGAAUGCCUCGUAGGUGACCGGGCUGGUAGCACAAAUGAUACUCAUACGUGCCAGGACUCUAGCUGAGCCCGAGUUAGAUUUACAGCCCUCCUUAUCUUGACCUAUCUCCAAGUUCCUAGGUGAAGUGGCUGUUCCCAGUGCUGCCUGAAUCCUUCAGCUGACUGCCGGCCAGAGGUUUAUGGCUCUGAUCAGGAAGAUCACUGAUGAGUCUUGUUUCAGACAGGUCCCACCCUCUGUUGGCUCCAACAGUGUUUGAUAUCCAACAAUAGGAAACCAGAUUCUGUGAGUGAACUCAAGCUAUAGGCAGGACCCGUGGAAGGCACAGGGGAAAGGAGUUGUCUUCCCAGGAAAUCUUGGAUUUCCCCCUGGAAGUAGGUAUCCUAUGUACCAGGUGGGAGAGGACUGAGGAGAAUGUGCCUUAGGACAUGGCUGAGAGCCUCUCUACAGCUCUGCACCAUUAAUUCCGUGUGGAUUUGUGUACCUGGAGCCCAGGGAAAACUAAAGCCCCUCUAAUCAAAAUGGUGUUUCUUUCUCGAGGUCCUGCUGGUUGUGAGAGAUUUAUGCUUCUGUGUGGGAUAUGUUCUUUCACCUAUAAACAUCAAAAUCCCACAGUGAAAUGGGAACAGAAAAAUGUUUAUUCCCCACCCAACCUUCAUCUUAAACAUGGUUCAAUAGGAAGGUAUCACUCAGAGACCCUGGCCCAGGGAGGAUCCUUCUAUGACUCUAGUUCCUAAAAUGUGUUCUCUAGAUCAACAAUAUAAACAUCACCAGAAACUUGUUAGACAUGCAAAUUCUCAGCCCCCUACCUCCACUCCUCUGCCCACAGCAAUACUGCAUUAGAAAUGCUGGGAGUGGACCCCAGCAGCUUUCAACAAACCCCUAGAGUGAUUCUAGUGUACCCUGGAGUUUGAGAACCUCAUCUUUCCGGCAGGUGGAAGGGAUGUGGCAAACAGUGCACAGGGGUCCCAAGACUUGUCCCUUCACUCACCUUUCACUGGCCAAAGCAAGUCACCUGGCCUUGCUCCCCCAUUGCCUUCUGCCAUGAUUGGAUGCUUCCUGAGGCCUCCGCAGAAGCAGAAACCACUAUGCUUCCUGUAUAGCCUGCAGAACUACGAGCCAAUUAAAACUCUUUUCUUUAUAAAUGACCCAGUCUCAGGUAUUUCUUUAUAGCAAUGUGAGAACAGACUCUUGAAAUAUUUGCACACCCAUAUUGAAGCAGUAUUAUUCACAAUAGUUAAGAGGUAAAAGCAACCCAAAUGUCAAUUGACAGAUAAAUGGACAAACAAAAUACGUUAUAUACAAUUGAAUAUUAUUUAACGUUAAAAAGGAAGGAAAUUCUGACAUAUGCUACAACAUAGACUAUCCUUGAGGACAUUUUGCUAAGUGAAACAAGCCAGUCGCAAAAGAACAAAUACUGUAUGAUUACACUUACAUAAGGUAUCUAGAAUAGUCAAACUUACAAAAGCAGAAAGUAGAACAGUGGUAACUAGAGAAUCUGGGGAGAGGAAAAUGGGGUGUUGUUUAAUGGG
rnacentral:lncRNA from 10 species